GGCAAGAUGGUCGAGUGGUCUAAGACGUCAGGUUCAGGUCCUGAUCUACGCAAGUGGGCAAGGGUUCGAAUCCCUUUCUUGUCA
rnacentral:tRNA from 1 species